rnacentral:lncRNA from 1 species
UUUUUACUACAUCGUUUAAUCUAUUGAAGAGUCCAAUAACCUAGUUAAGAUGAAUGUGAAAGAACUUCAAUCUUCAUUGGAGGCUCAUGAGAUGAGACUGAAGCAAAGGAACUCAGAAAGGGAGGAAGUGGUGAAAUAGGCACUGCAAGCAAGAUUUAUCAAGAAGUCUGAUAGAGAAAAGAAGAAAUAGAGAAAGGAAUGUG